UACGUAGGGUGCAAGCGUUGUCCGGAAUUAUUGGGCGUAAAGAGCUCGUAGGCGGUUUGUCGCGUCUGCUGUGAAAACCCGAGGCUCAACCUCGGGCCUGCAGUGGGUACGGGCAGACUAGAGUGUUGCAGGGGAGACUGGAAUUCCUGGUGUAGCGGUGAAAUGCGCAGAUAUCAGGAGGAACACCGGUGGCGAAGGCGGGUCUCUGGGCAACAACUGACGCUGGAGGAGCGAAAGCGUGGGGAGCGAACAGG
rnacentral:rRNA from 1 species